rnacentral:lncRNA from 10 species
UAGGCAUCAGCUAUCAAAACUUAUGGGAAAUGGAAUUGAAGACAACUACUUCUAGAAUUGGUGCAUGGAAGCUUCUCAUAGGUGAUUAGCCACACUCUUCUUCUGUCAACCUGGUGCAGAAAAGCUUGAAGACCUUGGAAAUCACAUAUUGAUGAUGGAGGAGAUACAAGAAUGAAGGACCCUGGGUUCCUGAAUCAACACUCUAAGAAGAGACUCCUUGAAAUCAAGAGCACUCAUUUUGACAUUGCAAACGGAAAAAUUCACUUCUAUCAGGUUUGAACCAAUAUAUAGUUUAGGGUUUUUAAAAAAUAACUGUUAGCAUGACUUUAACUAAUACACAUGCCAUACAGGAUCAGACCUCUGUGACUUUGCUUUUACAGUCUGCUCUGUCUGGAGGGGAGUUUCAUCUUUGCCAUCCUUAAUGAUAUAGCAUAGACGCUAUGUCCUCCAGAAACUUCCUUGGCACCCACAUUUUUGGAUGGAAGCUUCUUGUCAUUUCCAUGGAAAGUAAGCUUAAUCUUGUCAAUGUGGUUCAACAUCAAAUUUGAAUUAUGUUCACCUAUCUUGUUUCCAACCUUCCCAACUAAAAUUUAAAUUUCA